AGGCGUAUAGCUCAGUUGGUUAGAGCACCACCUUGACAUGGUGGGGGUCGUUGGUUCGAGUCCAAUUACGCCUA
rfam:Thiothrix lacustris isolate A8 Ga0073116_1005, whole genome shotgun sequence.